GUGAACGCUGGCGGUAGGCCUAACACAUGCAAGUCGAACGGCAGCACAGUAAGAGCUUGCUCUUACGGGUGGCGAGUGGCGGACGGGUGAGGAAUACAUCGGAAUCUACUUUUUCGUGGGGGAUAACGUAGGGAAACUUACGCUAAUACCGCAUACGACCUACGGGUGAAAGCAGGGGAUCUUCGGACCUUGCGCGAUUGAAUGAGCCGAUGUCGGAUUAGCUAGUUGGCGGGGUAAAGGCCCACCAAGGCGACGAUCCGUAGCUGGUCUGAGAGGAUGAUCUGCCACACUGGAACUGAGACACGGUCCAGACUCCUACGGGAGGCAGCAGUGGGGAAUAUUGGACAAUGGGCGCAAGCCUGAUCCAGCCAUACCGCGUGGGUGAAGAAGGCCUUCGGGUUGUAAAGCCCUUUUGUUGGGAAAGAAAAGCAGCAGGUUAAUACCCCGCUGUUCUGACGGUACCCAAAGAAUAAGCACCGGCUAACUUCGUG
rnacentral:rRNA from 1 species